AAAACUUCUCUAGCAGAGUUCAGCACUGUCUUUCUUCUCUACAAUCCUGACCCUGGGUAUGCUCAGAGAAAGGCAAGGGUCAGUUCCCCCGGACAAGGAGUGGAGGUGGGCCAAGGAGUCAUGAUGGAAUAGAUAUAUCUCUUUGAUGGUUCAUUUCAACUAUCCAUUAAAUACACUGCUUCUCCUUUCCUUUCAGCUGAAUUGAAGUGCCUGGCAUAGUUAACUUGAGGAUGAUAGGUUUAAUACCUAGCUUAAGAACUGAUUGACUGAUUUGACUGAUUGGGGAGGUUGCACAGCCUCUGAGAUGAUCUUGGUCUGGCAACAAUUACUAGCUUGUUUUACAUUUUUACACCUCUUCCUGAUGUGUGGUAAUACACCUUGUCCACUGACAAAGUCAUGCUAAUCCUCUACCAAAGUAUACUGAACACCCCACUCUUACAAAUUCCCUUUCCCCACUCUCCCCAUCAAUGACAUCAAUUAAAACUCUGUAAUCAGAGUUUAAGGGCUCGUGUCCAUCAAAAAACUUAGACGUCCCUUUCUAUCAACAUUUAUCCCAUGAGAUACCUAGUUUAGAUGGUACACAAUACGUAGGAAUGGGUAUAUUUGGAAUACAUGCCUACUCUGAUACAUGCCUGUGACAGUUUGACUUAUUGUUAAUUAAAUAUUUACUUUCCCCCUCCCACUGUGGACAAAGUAUAAAUAAAUUUAUAAAUUUCA